AUAGUUAACUUAACCUAUGGAUGGGAAUAACCUCAGGGAAACUUGAGGAUAAUAACCAAUAGGGGCACAAGUGCCUGGAAUGAACUGUGGUUGAAAUAGAUUUAUCGCCGUACGAUAGGACUGCGGCCUAUCAGCUUGUAAGGUGAAGGUAGUGGACGAACAUGGCUAUAAAAAGGGCUCAAAUAAAAGAGAUAACGGGAUCUGAACAGGAGGGGCCCAGAAAAUGGUAUAC
rnacentral:rRNA from 1 species